GAUGAACGCUAGCUACAGGCUUAACACAUGCAAGUCGCGGGGCAGCAUGGGGGUUGCUUGCAAUCCCCGAUGGCGACCGGCGCACGGGUGAGUAACGCGUAUCCAACCUGCCCUUCACCACGGGAUAACCCGGCGAAAGUCGGACUAAUACCGUAUGUUGUCCAUUGACGGCAUCCGAUUUGGACGAAAGGUUUGGCGGUGAAGGAUGGGGAUGCGUCCGAUUAGCUGGACGGCGGGGUGACGGCCCACCGUGGCGACGAUCGGUAGGGGUUCUGAGAGGAAGGUCCCCCACACUGGAACUGAGACACGGUCCAGACUCCUACGGGAGGCAGCAGUGAGGAAUAUUGAGCAAUGGGCGUAAGCCUGAACCAGCCAAGUAGCGUGCAGGAUGACGGCCCUAUGGGUUGUAAACUGCUUUUAUGCGGGGAUAAAGUGGCCCACGUGUGGGUUUUUGCAGGUACCGAAUGAAUAAGGACCGGCUAAUUCCGUG
rnacentral:rRNA from 1 species